rnacentral:rRNA from 1 species
CCUACGGGCGGCAGCAGUGAGGAAUAUUGGUCAAUGGGCGAGAGCCUGAACCAGCCAAGUCGCGUGAAGGAUGACGGCCCUACGGGUUGUAAACUUCUUUUGUCAGGGAGCAAUUGGGUCCACGCGUGGGCUUAGCGAGAGGACCUGAAGAAAAAGCAUAGGCUAACUCCGUGCCAGCAGCCGCGGGCAUACGUAGGGAGCAAGCGUUGUUCGGAAUGACUGGGGGGAAAGGGUGCGUAGGCGGGUAUACAAGGUAGGAGUGAAAUACCCAGGGCUUAACUCGGGUGCUGCUUCUAAAACUGUAAGACUUGAGUGCAGGAGAGGUUAGUGGAAGUCCUAGUGUAGCGGUGGAAUGCGUAGAUAUGAGGAGGAACACCAGAGGCGAAGGCGGCUAACUGGACUGCAACUGACGCUGAGGCACGAAAGUGUGGGGAGCAAACAGGAUUAGAUACCCCAGUAGUC